AUGGCAGCACAGUUCUUCCUCCUUGCCCUAUUCGCUCUGUCCACUUGUCGUGCUCUUGCCUCCGACCCAGGCCAACUCCAGGAUUUCUGUGUCGCCGACAGAACAUCCCAAGUUUUCAUCAAUGGAUUUGCAUGCAAAGACCCGAAGACUGCCAUGGUAGAAGACUUCUACUUCUCUGGCCUUCACAUGGCCGGGAACACGAGCAACAAGCAAGGCUCCGCUGUGGCCGCAGUUAAUGUUGCACAGAUUGCUGGCUUGAACACUUUGGGCAUCUCCCUGGCCCGUGUUGAUUAUGCACCCUAUGGUCAAAAUCCACUCCACAUCCAUCCCCGCGCAACC
rnacentral:rRNA from 1 species